rnacentral:rRNA from 1 species
AGUGAACGCUGGCGGCAGGCCUAAUACAUGCAAGUCGAACGGCAGCACAGCAGAGCUUGCUCUGUGGGUGGCGAGUGGCGGACGGGUGAGGAAUACAUGGGAAUCUGCCCAGUCGUGGGGGAUAACGUAGGGAAACUUACGCUAAUACCGCAUGCGCCCUUCGGGGGAAAGCCGGGGACCUUCGGGCCUGGCGCGAUUAGAUGAGCCCAUGUCGGAUUAGCUAGUUGGCGGGGUAAAGGCCCACCAAGGCGACGAUCCGUAGCUGGUCUGAGAGGAUGAUCAGCCACACUGGAACUGAGACACGGUCCAGACUCCUACGGGAGGCAGCAGUAGGGGAUAUUGGACAAUGGGCGCAAGCCUGAUCCAGCCAUGCUGCGUGAGUGAAGAAGGCCCUCGGGUUGUAAAGCUCUUUUGUCCGGAAAGAAAAGCAUCCAGUUAAUACCUGGGUGUCCUGACGGUACCGGAAGAAUAAGCACCGGCUAACUUCGUGCCAGCCGCCGCCGUAAAAC